GGACAAGAGAACAUCUGGUUAAUCUAUUAUAGGCACUGAAAUAUCGGAAAUAUCUUCGAUUUUCAUCAUCGUCGAUGGAUCAUCACCACAAGCUGGAACGAAAUCCGGAUGAUCCAUCUGUGUUUCCAAGUUCCAACACGCCCGCCCGCAGACCCGAACACACUAGCUAGCACUCAACCCACGCAUGAUCCUUCGAUCAUCACAUACCUGACCGCCUAAUUAAACCAACUCUAAUUAACAAAGCAACGAGACGAGGCCGGAGACGGCGUCUAUCCGGCCGGCGAGGGCGCGCGAGAUCCGCGUCGACGGAUCUCACGCCCUGAAGCAGGCGGCGAGGUGGAAGUGGAGGUGGCCCGAGGAGGAGCCGUGGUGGUGGUGGCCGCCGGAGACGAGGCGGCCGGAGCCGGAGCCGCCGUGCCGCUGGCCGUCGAUGAUGGCCUGCACGCGGCGGAAGUUGUCGACGCCGCAGGGGAUGGUGAUGGCGCCCUGCUGCUGGAAGCCGUACUCCUCCUCGGCCUCCUUGAGUAGGCCCACGAAGAGCGGGUGCUUGAGGUAGCCCACCGGCACCACGAACCUCUCCUCCUCCUCCGCGCGGCCGCCCGGCCCCACCACGCGCACCGCCAUGCACCCCUUGGGCGGCAUCGACGACCCGCCGCUCGAGCCCCCCGCCGCCGACGAGUGCUGCUUCCUCAGCAGGCUCACGCCCAU
rnacentral:rRNA from 1 species